rnacentral:rRNA from 1 species
UACGUAGGGUGCAAGCGUUGUCCGGAAUUAUUGGGCGUAAAGGGCUCGUAGGCGGUCCAUCGCGUCGGGAGUGAAAAGCUGGGAGCUUAACCCCAGUCCUGCUUCCGAUACGGGUGGACUAGAGGUAGGUAGGGGAGAACGGAAUUCCUGGUGUAGCGGUGAAAUGCGCAGAUAUCAGGAGGAACACCUAUAGCGAAGGCAGCUUGCUGGGACGUAACUGACGCUAAGGCGCGAAAGCGUGGGGAGCGAACAGG